rnacentral:rRNA from 1 species
GUGCCAGCAGCCGCGGUAAAACGUAGGUACCGAGCGUUAUCCGGAUUUACUGGGCGUAAAGCGCGUUCAGGCGGCUCAGCAAGUCGGGCAUGAAAUCUCUCGGCUCAACCGGGAGGGGCUGUCCGAAACUGCUGGGCUUGAGGGCAGUAGAGGGUGGUGGAAUUCCGGGUGUAGUGGUGAAAUGCGUAGAUAUCCGGAGGAACACCAGUGGCGAAAGCGGCCACCUGGACUGUACCUGACGCUCAAACGCGAAAGCUAGGGGAGCGAACGGGAUUAGAUACCCCCGUAGUCC